rnacentral:rRNA from 1 species
AACGAACGCUGGCGGCAGGCCUAACACAUGCAAGUCGAACGCUGUCGCAAUACAGAGUGGCAGGCGGGUGAGUAACACGUGGGAAUCUUCCUAUCGGAACGGAAUAGCUCAGGGAAACUUGAGGUAAUACCGCAUACGCCCUUCGGGGGAAAGAUUUAUCGAGGAUAGAUGAGCCCGCGUCGGAUUAGCUAGUUGGGGAGGGAAUGGCUCACCAAGGCGAGAAUCAGUAGCUGGUCUGAGAGGAUGAGCAGACACUCUGGGACUGAGACACGGCCCAGACUCCUACGGGAGGCAGCAGUGGGGAAUAUUGGACAAUGGGCUCAAGCCUGAUCCAGCCAUGCCGCGUGAGUGACGAAGGUCUUCGGAUUGUAAAGCUCUUUUGCCAGGGACGAUAAUGACGGUACCUGAAGAAUAAGCCCCGGCUAACUUCGUGCCAGCCGCCGCCGUAAGAC